AUAUUACCCUUUGUAUAUCUGUUAUCUAUGACUUGGCCAUUUUGUAGUAAAAGCUAUGCUGCGUCGCCAUUUUUAAAAUUUUGCAGUUUUACUUGAUUUUCGAAUAAUGAUCAAUAAGAGUGGGAGAGUGUUAAUUUUGAUGCAGCUGAAAAAGUAAUUUUUUUGCCAUGGUGUUCUUUUGAUUUUGGAGGAUUUUCUAGUUAAUUACGGAACAUUAAAAAAACUGGAUGGCAUUAAUUUACAGUGCAUUUACAUUGUGUCUUCAUUCAAUCCAGAAAGUAGCAAUUCUAAAAAGAAGCACGAAAGUACCUUUUUCCCAUGGGACCAAAUACAGUGUAGUUAUAAGGAAGAAUUUAUGACAUUGAACUGAUUGGUCAAGAAGUGACAAGGAAUUAAGUUAAUUCUGAUUCUACUGAAACAACUGAUGCUUUUGACGCUUUCUCCUUCUAACAUAAUGCAGUUAAUUUUGAACCUGAGAAAGCAAGGCAACUGGAAAUUAAUUUGGAAACGACUGAAUCAACAGAUUGUCUGCAGUGGUAUUUCUCCUGGAUUUGGCUUGUUCAUUCUACCUGUGGACCUUAGAAAGCUACUUUCUGCGGUUAAUGGAGAUUGCCCAACAAAUGAGUUCAGUUUGGCUCUACUCGAACAGCCGUCUGCAUGGGUGUGGUCUUUUCUGGACUUUGUUCCUGGUUUGAUAUUUUCAUCUUCACUUCGCAAGACCAUGCAGUUGAUUUUCGACUGAUUAGUGGGAGCAACUAAGGAUUUAUUUGAUUUCAAAUGGAACAACAAAAUUUCUGCUAUGGUGUUCCUCCUGGAUUUGGUUUGCUCUUCACACCUGCAAACAGUUGCAGUCUGCAUUUAAUUAAGAUCGACGUUGGAGAAGACAAAGAUGACCCCAUAGUUGAAAUAGUUUUUUUAUCUUGCAUGCUGUAUCUGGUUAAUUAAGUUCAUUUUAAUCAAAUUAAUUUUUUAUUUUGCAUGUUUUGUUGUAGUUAAUUUGAAUUAAUUUUUA